AGUGAACGCUGGCGGUAGGCCUAACACAUGCAAGUCGAACGGCAACACAGUAAGAGCUUGCUCUUACGGGUGGCGAGUGGCGGACGGGUGAGGAAUACAUCGGAAUCUACUUUUUCGUGGGGGAUAACGUAGGGAAACUUACGCUAAUACCGCAUACGACCUACGGGUGAAAGCAGGGGAUCUUCGGACCUUGCGCGAUUGAAUGAGCCGAUGUCGGAUUAGCUAGUUGGCGGGGUAAAGGCCCACCAAGGCGACGAUCCGUAGCUGGUCUGAGAGGAUGAUCAGCCACACUGGAACUGAGACACGGUCCAGACUCCUACGGGAGGCAGCUGUGGGGAAUAUUGGACAAUGGGCGCAAGCCUGAUCCAGCCAUACCGCGUGGGUGAAGAAGGCCUUCGGGUUGUAAAGCCCUUUUGUUGGGAAAGAAAAGCAGCAGGUUAAUACCCCGCUGUUCUGACGGUACCCAAAGAAUAAGCACCGGCUAACUUCGUG
rnacentral:rRNA from 1 species